rnacentral:lncRNA from 1 species
CCGUUCAACCCGGAGUACCAGGACGAGUCGGUGCUGUGGACGGAGAGCGGCGACGUUGGCAAGGGCUUCCGCUGCAUCCGCAUGGUGAACAACAUCCGGCUCAACUUCGACGCCUUCCACGGCGACAAGGACCACGGCGGCGUGCACGACGGCACCACCGUGGUGCUGUGGGAGUGGGCCAAGGGCGACAACCAGAGCUGGAAGAUCCUCCCCUGGGGCGACGAGGCCUACGCCGGCGGCAGCGGCGGCGCCGCCGCCAACGCGCCGUACGGCCACGGCGAGCCGACGGUCCGCAUCUACUGCAAGGCGGACGACGGGUUCAGCGUGACCGUCCGCAACGGCAGCGUGUGCCUGGCGCCGACGAACCCGCGCGACGAGUACCAGCACUGGGUCAAGGACAUGCGGCACAGCAACCGCAUCAAGGACGAGGAAGGGUACCCGGCGUUCGCGCUCGUGAACAGGGUCACCGGCGAGGCCAUCAAGCACUCGCAGGGCGAGGGCCACCCGGUGAAGCUGGUGCCGUACAACCCAAACUAC